GCUACAUAUUAGAGCACUGAACUCCUGGUGGUCAGCAUAUUAACAGAGUGGCCGAACAAAACGCGGAUAUUGAUGCCUCAGCAAUAAGAAUAAGCCUCACCAACCACAUGCCAACCUCGGUAAAAAGCUGUGAAAACCGUUUCACUGGCAUUGCAAACACAGCGCGGAUUGUAGCCGAUGAAUUGCCGUGUUUCUUUUUCCUGAGGGACACAGAAAUCCUUGCAAGUCGCAACAGGGAGAGAAGCUGCGCAAAAAAAAAAAAAAUAAGAACAAACAAAAACCAAACAUGUGCCUGACAAUCCAUGCAUCACUCUCGACUGUAACAAUUGGGGGCUCAGCCACUACGGUUCGCCGCCGAACGUGCAGUAUUUUUCCAGCAAUGGAACAUCCAAAUAAUGGCUGAGUGAGCGGACGCACAACCUUUAUUUCAAUGAUAUCAAGCUGUAGAAACGCUCAUGGUUGCGUUAGUUACGCCCCUGUACGUUCGUGGAAGCUCUGGUAAUAUGGUGGCACUUAAAUAUGCGGUUUUGCUUCUUGUCAUCAGAAAUGAUGUGAAUGUAUGUUAUUUUUUCUGCAGCUGCAAGAUGGAAAUCUGAGUACUGUCUUCAACCUCCAUCAUAUGGGACCUGCAAAGGGCGUAUUGCAUCUUGGUACUAUGACCCGGGGAUAGAAAAUUGUAAGAUGUUUUACUACUCAGGUUGCGGUGAAAACAAAAAUCGGUUUUCCUCAGAAGGCUGGUGCCAGUGGUAUUGCCUACCCAGAAACAAAAUGCGGAAGAAUGUUUGCAGCCGUAGGGAAUAUGGUGAGAAGUGCUAUGGCCGAACGCAGCGAUGGUACUUUGAUUACAAGGACAACAUAUGCCGUGAAUUUAAGGACGGGUACUGUGGACUGGUGCCUAACCGGUUCGACACUUGUGAGCAAUGCAUCAGGAGAUGCAGUGAUUCUGAUCCCAAUGUUUCCUGCACUGUGCCUGAUGGCAAAAAGAAAGGGUAAUGGACUGACACCCCUUACUGCUCUACGAUAACACAUCCAGAAUGUCUUCGAAACGGACAAUCGGUGCUUUCGGCCAGAACUUCUGAACACGCGCCUGCGGGGUUACAUGAAAUUUAUAAAAAGCAUGAAAUAAAUGUGUGUGCUCGAUUCGUUCA